AUGAGCAGCUCGGUGCUCUUCUGGUACUUGCGGAUCUCGCGGAGCGCGACGGUGCCGGGGCGGAAGCGGUGGGGCUUCUUCACGCCGCCCGUCGCCGGCGCCGACUUGCGCGCCGCCUUGGUCGCCAGCUGCUUCCGCGGGGCCUUGCCGCCGGUCGACUUGCGCGCGGUCUGCUUCGUGCGGGCCAUUUGCGGAUCUGGGGCGAGGGAAGGCUGGGGAGUUUGCUGCGCGGUGGCGAGAGAGUUCGGCGCGGUGGUUUGA
rnacentral:rRNA from 1 species